AUUGAACGCUGGCGGCAGGCCUAACACAUGCAAGUCGAACGGUAACAGGAAACAGCUUGCUGUUUCGCUGACGAGUGGCGGACGGGUGAGUAAUGUCUGGGAAACUGCCUGAUGGAGGGGGAUAACUACUGGAAACGGUAGCUAAUACCGCAUAACGUCGCAAGACCAAAGAGGGGGACCUUCGGGCCUCUUGCCAUCGGAUGUGCCCAGAUGGGAUUAGCUAGUAGGUGGGGUAACGGCUCACCUAGGCGACGAUCCCUAGCUGGUCUGAGAGGAUGACAGGCAACACUGGAACUGAGACACGGUCCAGACUCCUACGGGAGGAAGCAGAGGGGAAUAUUGGACAAUGGGCGCAAGCCUGAUGCAGCCAUGCCGCGUGUAUGAAGAAGGCCUUCGGGUUGUAAAGUCCUUUGAGCGGGGAGGAAGGGAGUAAAGUUAAAACCUUCACUCAUUGACGUUACCUGAAGAAGAAGCACCGGCUAACUACGUG
rnacentral:rRNA from 1 species